GUUUGAUUCUGGCUCAGAUUGAACGCUGGCGGCGUGCUUAACACAUGCAAGUCGCGCGUGAAAGGACUUCGGUCCGAGUAAAGCGGCGCACGGGUGAGUAACGCGUGGAUGAUCUACCCAUGAGUUAGGAAUAACGGCUGGAAACGGUCGCUAAUACCAAAUACGCUCCGAUUUCAACUUCGGGGGAAAGGUGGCCUCUGCUUGCAAGCUACUGCUCAUGGAUGAGUCCGCGUCCCAUUAGCUAGUUGGUGGGUAACGCCCACCAAGGCGACGAUGGGUAGCCGGUCUGAGAGGAUGACCGGCCACACUGGGACUGGAACACGGCCCAGACUCCUACGGGAGGCAGCAGUGGGGAAUAUUGCGCAAUGGGCGAAAGCCUGACGCAGCGACGCCGCGUGAAGGGAUGAAGGUCCUCGGAUCGUAAACCUCUGUCAGGAGGGAAGAACCGCCACGGUGCUAAUCAGCCGUGGUCUGACGGUACCUCCAAAGGAAGCACCGGCUAACUCCGUGCCAGCCGCGGC
rnacentral:rRNA from 1 species